CCUACGGGGGGCAGCAGUGAGGAAUAUUGGUCAAUGGGCGCGAGCCUGAACCAGCCAAGUAGCGUGAAGGAUGACUGCCCUACGGGUUGUAAACUUCUUUUAUAAAGGAAUAAAGUGAGGCACGUGUGCCUUGUUGGAUGUACGUUAUGAAGAAGGAUCGGCUAACUCCGUGCGAGCAGCCGCGGUAAUACGGAGGAUACGAGCGUUAUCCGGAUUUAUUGGGUUUAAAGGGAGCGUAGAGGGGUUGUUAAGUCAGUUGUGAACGUUUGCGGCUCAACCGUAAAAUUGCAAUUGUUACUGGCAGUCUUGAGUACAGUUGAGGUAGGCGGAAUUCGUGGUGUAGCGGU
rnacentral:rRNA from 1 species